UACGGAGUGUGCAAGCAUUAAUCGGAAUUAUUGGGCGUAAAGGGCGCGUAGGCGGAUUUGUAAGUCAGAUGUGAAAUUCCGAAGCUCAACUUCGGAGCUGCAUUUGAAACUGCGAGUCUAGAGGAAUGGCGGAGAAAAUGGAAUUCCACGUGUAGCGGUGAAAUGCGUAGAUAUGUGGAAGAACACCGGUGGCGAAGGCGAUUUUCUAGAUUUUACCUGACGAUGAGGCGCGAGAGCAAGGGGAGCAACCAGG
rnacentral:rRNA from 1 species